rnacentral:lncRNA from 1 species
UGGUUUAAAAAAAAAAUAGAUUUUAUUGUAAAUGACAACUGGUAUGUGAACCAACAGACUUGAAGAUUAACAUUCUCAAAAAUGCAAACCCAGUAUCUAUUAAUGCUCUUAAAAAAGACCUGGGAAUAGAUCACCAGGGUAUAAGCACCAUCAGAGCAGAAAACAAUCCUGUAUUUCAUGCCAACAAAACUUAAAAUCAUACUAAGCGGCGCAUAACUUCAAAGCGUGGUUUAAAUUUGGUUAUGAUUAUGAACCACUUACCCAUCUGAACAAAAGAAAAAAAAAAACCAAACAGAAAAGGAGUUGGCUUGGAGCCUACUGCAAGAGUUCUUUACAGUUAAACCAAAAGUCAAAAUUACUCGAAGGCAUUUAUAUAUAAAAACUAAUCUUGGACAAAUCAAUGUCCAUGAGGUCUUUGUUUACUGGUUCUGCAGAUUUAUUCAGAUCUUAUCUCUCCCUCAAGAAUCUGCUCAGAUGCCUUAAUAUUUUCCCCUAUAAUGGUCCGUUUUA